rnacentral:lncRNA from 1 species
CCCGAGACCCCGCAUUGACCAGCAGCCGGGGACGCCCCCGGAGCAGCUGAGCUACCCGCUUGUGAUUGGCUUAGAAAUGCUCACGCGAUGCCUCUCUGGCCAAUGAGGGGUGAGGAUGAGUCCCCAGGGGAUUCUGGGAAGGGCUUUUCUCCUGACACAGAGAAAGAGCGAGAGACCGAGAGAGACGGAGACAGAGGGAGAGGAGAAGGAGGAGCUCCAGGGCCGCUAUGACGGUGUGUGCUGGUGGCCUCUGAGGUGGUCCCGGGUGGUGGUCCCCGGAUGGUGGUCCCCGUGAGGUGGUUCCUAAGGUCGUCCCGGGUGGUGGUCCCCGUGUGGUGGUCCCAUGAGGUGGUCCCCUGAGGUGGUCCCGGGUGGUCGUCCCCGUGAGGUGGUCCCAUGAGGUGGUCCCGGGUGGUGGUCCCCGUGUGGUGGUCCCAUGAGGUGGUCCCCUGAGGUGGUCCCUUGUGGUGGUCGCCAUGAGGUGGCCAUGUCAGGUCAGGACCCACGGAAGGGGUGGGGUGGGGUCCUUGGGGCUCCACCAGCCCAGCGUCCGGCUUCCCCGAGGCGAGAGCAAAAGUGAAGGAGCGAAAUCAGCAACAGCUGCGGAGCCUCCCUGCAGGCAGCCCUGGCAGCUCCGGCCUCGCUGCUCCUGUUACGGCUCUCCUGCCCCAGUGAGGCCGAAGGACCUUUCAUCUUCUGGGAAAUCGUCUGCGGGAGAGGUAACACCACAAGUGUUUCCACCCCGAGUCCUCCAAAAGCCCGACCGGAAGCUCAUCCCCUCGCCGAGGGAAUGCUGGCUGCAGCCGGGAGUGGCUCUCAUCUUCCUCCAAGUGGUGUUUGGACAAAGUGUUCUGUUGGGUUUCUGCAGCUUCCAGAGCAUGUAAGGAAUGCUCAGGGCCUCUUUCCUCCAAGUCGGUGGCUGCUCAUUAAACUCUUCUGGGCUCUUUCCAGGGCGGGCUGGGCCUGGGCUCAGUCCAGAGGGCCGGAGUCCCAUGGGCUGAGCUGGACCUGGUAUCAGCGAUUCUAAGAAGCCCCUCCUCAGCCCUGCGCGUGUGAGACCAGCAGAGAACCUCUGCUCUGAGGGCCCGGCUGGGUGGGACUGAGGGUCACCUGGAAGAGGUAGCAGUCCACGUAGUCCACACACUGCCUCCAGUUCUCGGCGCAGCUUGGGCUUUGGGUCUACAUGGUCAUCUCUGCACCCCGAGUCAGUGGGCUGUGGUCCAUACGUGGAGAGUCCACUGCAUGUCUGGAAUUUCUAGCUUAAAUUGUGUCCUCUAUCUCCUUGCCAUCAUCAGCCCAGCCAUCUCGCAUGUGCUCUGCCUCGGAGAGAAAUCUGAACAACACUGUCAGCCCCUCCUGCACAUUUGGGGACCAUGUAGGAGAAGUGGAGAUCAAAGGCGAGCUUGAGAGGAAACCUCAUUAAAUCCAGGUGGCAAAAGAUAAACAAACAUGCAGAACACAGAGACAGAACCCACAGAAAAGCAACACAAAGGCAAAAGCAGUGGGGAUCUGACCUAGGAACGCUGUCCUGCAACAGGCGAGAGUGUGGACCGCGUAGCUCUUACACAGCGAGCACUUCUGGAAUGCAAGGUGCAAUCCCCUUGUCCCUUGUCUCACAGCCAUAGAUAGGCACUUUAAUUGGGUUUACAGGUUUUAUUUAAAUGGCUCUCAUCGUACUUCCCAUGCCCCAGGCACGUCUAGGUGCUUUACAAAGAUCUCUCUAACCCUCAGGAUAGGGGGCUAUCAUGGGUGCCAUUAUUGCUCCCUCAUCAGAGAUGAGCAAACAGCGGCACCAGUGGCCAAGAUAUGAGUCCAAGUGGUCGGCUCCGGAGCCUGUGCUCUUAGCCUCAGCACCAAGCUGCCUCUGGCACAACAGUCAAGGGUCAAAGCCUACAAGCUAGCAAGUCUGAGCAAAGAUCUAGAUAUAAUUGGCCUUGACCCCAGCUGAGUGAAAAUUUGAAGUUCUCCCAUGACCUCUCUGCCCCAGCAGCAGGGUCUGUAUGAUGUCCCCAGUCCUACUCUAUAUUCACCAGGUGCAGGACUCAUCACAUCUCGGGACCCCUCAAAAGCUUUUAAUGAGCAAUGUAGACCAUACCAAGUGUGGUAUGUGGGUGGUGGAGGAGGGGAUUCAUGUCAAACACUAAGACAUGCCUGACCUUCUGAAGUCCACUUGCUCUCCCAUAGGCUCAUCAUCUGCCCAGCCCCAGCAUUUUUUUUCUUCCCUCCCACAUAUCCCCUGGUGACUUCAAACUCCUCUCUCCACUGUGUUGUACAUCCACACCACCUCCCCCUUUUUCUGAAGCCUUGGUGCCCUCCUUGGUCACAGUGAGGGGAGAUGGGGCCUGUCCCUUUGCCCUUCUAUCCCAGUACUUGUCAAGGAGUUCUUUCCAAGAAAGUGAGUGCUCUUCCCACCAAGACACCUCCUACUGAAUGAAGCUUUCUCCAUUUUUGAUUAAAAAAUGUUGGUUCUGUCCCUACCAUAUUGAAGAAGUAAAAAUACAAGACAGAGAUGAGAAAGCUCCAUGCUAUAGGCCCUCCACUCACUGCCUGAGGCUCUGGAAGAAGUCCCCAGUUUCCUCAUCUACAAAACAACUACUUUAUCCUGUUGAGGAGUUGUCAACUGCUUCCAGCUUAGGAGGCUAGGAGAAGCCAGUUGUCAGUCUCCUCACCCUCAAACACAAAGAUGUGAACAAAAGAGUGGUUUGAAUAAGUGAAGCCAAAUAACAACUAAAGCCUUCAUUGCUGAAAGGGAAAGAGAGGAGAUCAGCUCCCUGCAGCAAAGUAGCACCUUCCUCCACCCUGCCUAGAAUCUGUGGAGAGAGAGGACAGAAGUCAGCGUCUUGGGGAAAAUGCCUACUGAUCCUGCCAACAGUAGAGGGCUGAAGGACAUGGGAGCCAGCAGUCCUGGGAAAGGAGGUGAAAGUUUCAAAGAGGGUGGAGCCUUUCUUACCCCUUACCUCUUGCUCCAACCACAAUAAUGGUGAUUCUUCCUGGAGUGCAGUGGGGUGGCCAGCUGAGAGGAAGACUGAAAGACAGAACACCCAGAGUGGCUUAUUACCAGCAGCAGACAGAAAUGUGGCCAAGAGAAGGAAAGGAGAAGACAAAGAAAAGAAGAGCUGAGGGAGCAGGACGGGGGAGCUGGUACACUAAAAGCACCAGGGGAUUCAACACGAUGGCUCUCAGCUGUCUGCCGUGAGCUUUUAUUUCCUUCUGAUUUGAGGGAAAGAUAUGAAAGGCACCAACUGCCAGAAAGAGUUGAAGCUGGUAAGGAGCGAACAGGCUGUCAGAUUUGGGCGUGACACUUGAGGGUCCUCUGCCCUGGGCCAGAUGUGUUUUGGGCAGGGUAGAGUGGAUUCUUACACUGGGCAUUAAACAGAAGCUGGAGCCCAAGCCUGUGCCCAGAAAGGCACACAGCCUGGUUUGAUCCUCCACUUUGGGAGAGCCCAGCCCUCAAAGGGUCCUACAUGAGGGAGGGAGAGCAUCAAGAUGAUUCACCUGAACAUGUAAGAACAAGGAAAAGAUUUAGCAAGAACUGAGCAAGAUACACAUGAGCAAGGAGGAAAAAGAAAAAAAAAAAAGCAAAGCCAGCAUGCUGAAGCCUUUCUCAACAGAGCUCCUCAGCUGGACCCUAGGACACAGAGGAUGAUUGAAUGACUGUUUUCUCAAUUCUCCCAGGAUGCUUCAUGACUAGUACUAUUUCAGAAGCAGAGGAAGCAAGUUGAUUUGUUACCUGCAAUGGAUGUCUUAGGGUAUUAGCACUUAAUUUUUUCAGGGAAACCAGUUGAGAAAGGAUGAAAGACUCUUAGUAUGUAAAAUCCUAUUCUGGAGGAAAAAUACCUAAGAGGGGAAAAAUCCCAUGGGCACUUUCAGUUAUGGAGAUAGCUGGCAAUACUUACAGAAAAAAAGGUUUCAGUGAUAUGAUGGUUAACAAGAGAGGUGAAAAAGGAAAUUGCCCAGCCAAGGAUAAGACGAGGAAACUGAAAGGUCAACAAGUGUCCAAGAAAUGGUAUGCUGUGCCAUUCCAAGCAUUCAUUCAAGCAGAAAAGCAGCAAGGAGAUAAUCUCAAGUAUGGACUUACUCUGGAUGUGAGCUCCCAUGGACUCUCUGUUAAAUAGAAUAAAACUCCUUAACCAAGAUAUGAAAGGAAAACUUACAAGAAAAACAUGAGCAUAGACUUAACAAUAUAGAAAGGCAAGUCCCGACAACUAUGGGACAAAGAGUCUUGGAAGAAAAUGUCAUAAAUCAUGAUGGGGUAAAAUUGACAAAGAAAAUGAAGAGGUUUGAGAAAGAGAGUAUGAGUGUGUUAGAAUAUUGAUCUUUCACAGUGGGAAGGCACAGAUAGUUUUUAAGUUAAAAAAAGUCAAGAAACAGUUAUAAAGGGAUCCAUGAGAAGAACUAAAAUAGAAAUGAGGAUGAAUUAUAACCAGGAAAAAUCAGAAAUUAAGCAAGGGGAGGAGAGUUGUGAUGAAGAGGAAGUCUAUUUUCUUAUCUUCUUUAGCAGACAGUCAAUAGAUGUUGUCUAAAUAUGCUAAAUCUAGGAAAAGUUUUAGGGUGUAAUAUAUGAAAGAGGAAGUAAUUAACAGAUUGUAACCCUUUUGAAUUACUAGAAAGAAAACACCCAAUUUCAGAAAGAAGUCACACAAUAAGAAUGAGAAAAAGAAGAAAGCAUUAUAAGUAGGAAAUGUAAGAUGCUGGCAUUAAGACAAAAUAUCUGUUAUGUCAAAUGCAAAUAAAAUAAACUCAUCUAUUGAAUGUAAUAGCAAAGCCCAUGUACAUGUUGUAAAAAUAAGUUAAUCCAGGGGCUGGCCUUGUGGCUGAAUGGUUAAGUUUGCACGCUCCACUUGAGAGGCCCAGGGUUUCACAGGUUCAGAUCACAUGUGCAGACAUUGCACCACUCAUCAAGCCAGGCUGAGGUGAUGUCCCACAUAGCACAACCAGAAGGACCUACAGCUAAAAUAUACAACUAUGUACUGGGAGGGCUUUGGGGAGAAAAAGAAUUAAACAGAAGAAGAAGAAGAAGCUUGGCAAUAGUUGUUAGCUCAGGUGCCAAUCUUAGAAAGAAAAAAAGGAAAAAAAAGAAAUUAAUCCAAAACAAAGUGAUUCAGAAAGGAUCCAUUAAAACUUUAAAAAACAAGGCAGAGUGAAUUCAAGACACAAAUUAUGAAAAGAGUUAAAACAUCACUGAAUAUUUACAAUCAAGAUAAAAUUGUCACAAAUCUCAAUGCACCAAAUAACAUAGCAAUAAAAAUACGUGAAACCAACCACCUCUCUGAGACAUGGACAUACUUUCCCCUAUUUUGCCUGCUUAGUACAACUAAAAACUGAGUAUUGUACAUAAAACAAACAUAAGAAGACUCUGCAAGGUAGAGAGAAGAAGGCAGACCCUCCAGGGACUUCAGGAACCAAGGAAUGAUAUGGUGGUGAGUUCCCCAGGUUUUCUGUUUGCCUCAUACAUCUCAGACUUGGAGCUGAAGAAAGUGGUAACUCAGAAGCACCCAUGGGUACAGGCGAAACCAGUCCCAACAAAAGCUUGCUCCUUCUAGUCCAGGAAAGGAAAGACCAGGAAAGAGGCAACCAAGGAAGACAGAAAACUUGGAGACAAUAGCCUCUCUACUCUAGUCAUAAAUCACAUAAAAGAAAAACCGUGGCCCCACUCCCACCAUGCAGGUGAGGGCCAAGUCGGGGAUCCUAGACUUUUGCCCUCACAAGAGUGAUAUCACUGCAUGCCAGGGAGAGCCAAGAUUUUUAUCUGCACCAGUUGCUAAUGAGGCAUGACUCCCUGCAGUUCAUUGGAGCCCAUGAGAGACUGGGCUUCCUCCUCCACCCAGCAGUAAUGAGGUAUAGUCUCCCCUCCUUUCUGGAGUUUCUCAGAGGAGCCUGUUGAGGAGUUAGGACUUCCACGUGGCUCAGCAGUAAGGAGGCCACUUCCAGCAUGGUAUCAGUGGAGACCACCUGAGGAGCUGGAACUCCCACCAUCACCCAGAAGUACAAGGAGCCCCCUUCCCCUGGGGUAUCAACAGAGGCCUUCAUGGGGAACCUGGACCUCCACCUCCACCUGACAGGAACAAGGUACUGCCCCCUCCCCUUGCCAGAGCACUGCCAAAGAAAGCCAACUAAAACAAGAUUUCAGUGAGAUCCAGAGUCUUAUAACACAAAAGUCUUCAGACUUCAAUCAAACAUCACUAAUUAUACCAAGAACCAGGAAGAUCUCAAACUGAAUGAGAAAGACAAUCAAUAGAUGUCAAUACUGAGAUGACAGAGAUGUUAGAAUUAUCUGACAAAGUUUAAAGCAACCAUGAUGAAAAAAAUUCAAUGAACAAUUACAAAUAUGCUUGAAACAAAUAAAAAAUAGGAAGCCACAGCAAAGAAAUUGAAUAGAAAGUAUCACUCAAUAAAUAGAACAUAUAAACAAGAGGACACAGAAAAUGAUCGAAUGACUAAAAUGGAAAUUUUGGAACUGAAAACUACGAUAAUCAAAAUAAAAGCUCAGUGGAUGUGUUCAACAGUAGAAUGGAGGAAAUGUGAAAGAAUCAAUGAACUGGAAGAUAAAACAGUGGAAAUUACCCAAUAUGAAGAACAGAGAGAUAAUAAACCAAAAAAAGAGAAAGAAAAAAAGAACAGAGCCUCAGGUACCUGUGGGACUAUGACAAAAGAAUUGUCAGUUUCCAAGAGGGAGAAGAGCAAUAGGGCAGGGCUGAAAAAAGUAUUCAAAGACUUUUUCACAGAGGUGCAAAACAGUUCAAUGGGGAAGGAAGCCAUUUCACCAAAUGGUCCUGGGAUGACAAGACAUUCAUAGGUUAACAAAUGAACCUCUGCCUGUCUCACACCUUACACGAAUAUUAAUUCACAAUGGCUCGUGGAACUAAGUGUAAAAUACUUUAAAGACUGAUCAUACCAAAUAUUGGCGAGGAUGUGAAGCAACUGGAGCUCUCAUACACUGCUGGCAGGAGUGUAAAAGUGGUCCAAGCGCUUAGGAAACAGUUUGUCUGUUUCUUAAAAAGCUAGCCAUUUCUACCACAUGACCCAGUCAUUCCACUGCUAGGUAUCUACUCAAGAGAAAUGAACGUAAGUGUUCACAGAAGGACUUGUACACAAAUGUUCAUAGCUAAUGAGAAAUGGUCAUGGCUCCACACUGUCAGUAGGACUCUAUUUUGCAAACUUUUGGGGGGACCGUUUAGCACCAUCCAGCAUUUUAUUCCCCAAGAGAAACUUAGUUGUCUGUCUGUGUGAAACUGGCUCUGUGGUUACCACCUUCAUUUGGAACAUUUCGGAUUACCCUCGGUAUUCAGAAAACAAUGGAAAUUGAACCACUGUAGAAAGAUACAUAAAAAUAUGUUGGCUAUAUGUUUGUAAGGAUUUUCCCUUACAUGCCCUAUUUUCCUUGCUUAAUUAAGUGGUAUUAGUAAAUUUAUUCCAAAUGGAAACUUUGUUUAAAACAUUUUAAUUGUAUGGUCAUCAGUACAUUUGCAAAAGUUGCUGAUUGAGACUUCCAAAGAAAAGCUAAUUUCAACACUGAGCAUAGUUGGUAUUAUUUUUAUCUCUAAAUACUUCAGUGUGUGUUUCCUAAGAACAAGAACAUUGUCUUGCAUAACCACAGUCCAAUAAUCACAAUUAGGAAAUUCACCAUGGAUACAAUGCCACCAUCUAAUCCACAGACCGUAUUCAAAUUUUGGUGAUUAUCCCAAUAAUGUCCUUUAUAGCUUUUUUUCCCUGGUACACAAUCCAGUACUGGAUCACAUGUUGCAUUUAGUUGUCAUGUCUCUGGUCUCCUUUAAUCUGAAACAGCUCCUUGGCCCUUCUCUGUGUUUUAGGACUGUGACAUCUUUGAACAAUAUAGGCUAGUUAUUUUGUAGAAAGUUCCUCAAUUUGGGGUAGUUGGUUCUUUCCUCAAGUUUAGAUCCACUUAUGCAUCUUUAUAUUUGUGUUAUGGGCAGGAGCGCCACAGAGUGAUGUUGUGUCCUUUCCACUGUUGCACAUCAAGAGGUCCAUGACACCUAUAAGUUUCAGGGUUUUUUAAAUAUAUGGAUGUUUGGUUUUUCCAUCACCAUUAGUUGAAAAGAGCUUUCUUUCCUCAUCAGCUUAAAUUUUGCUUUCUUUUCCCCUUUAGCCCCUGCUUUUCUUUGGGCCUCUUGCACUCUCCACUGAACAUGUGCCAUCCAGGGAUGAGGCAAGAACCUUGAGCUGAUAUGCAGCUCCAUGCGUGUACACCUGCCUCCUCUGUGGCUCUCUCUCUUUACAGUUUCUCCACACAAAUACACACAAGUCAUGCAAACAGAGUAAUUUGAGGUGGAUCCUAGGCCUAAGUGUAAAUGCUGAAGUUGUGUUAAAAGAGAGCAUGCUCGUGACUUGGGGUGAGGCAAAGAUUUUUUAGGACACAAACAGCAAUAACCAUAAGAUAAAAAUUGAAUACUGGAUGUCAUAAAAAUGGCAAUUUAUGCUUAUCGAAAGACAACAUUGAGAAGACGAUGACUAGACAAGUCACGGAGUGGAAAAAAGUAUUUGCAGAGUAUGUCUAACAAAGGACUUGUAUCCCAACUACCAAAAGAACGCAUGAACAACCACAUACACUGAGCUACAAGCUAUACCACUUGAUAAAAUUGGGCAAGAGAUUGCAACAGAUGUUCACAGCGGAGUGGCUAGUCAAGAAGUACAUGGAAAGGUAUUCAGCUUCAUUAGUCAGCAGGGAAAAGAAAUGACCACCACAGUGAGCUGCCACCACAUACCCACCAGAAUGUCUAGAAUGAAUAAGACUGGCACCUUCAAGAGCUGGCCAAGUUGGAGCAGCCUACUGCUUACAUUUCUGAUGGAAAUGUAAAAUGGUACAAACAAUUUGGAAGACAGUUAGUUAAAAAGUUGAACAGAGGGGCUGGCCCGGUGGCGCAGCAGUUAAGUUUGCACGUUCCACUUCUCGGCGGCCUGGGGUUUGCUGGUUCGGAUCCCGGUUGUGGACAUGGCACCGCUUGGCACGCCAUGCUGUGGUAGGUGUCCCACAUAUAAAGUAGAGGAAGAUGGGUGCAGAUGUUAGCUCAGGGCCAGGCUUCCUCAGCAAAAAAGAGGAGGACUGGCAGUAGUUAGCUCAGGGCUAAUCUUUCUCAAAACAAAAAAAAAAAAGUUGAACGGAUACUUACCAUACUAUCCAGCAAUUUCUCUCUUAGGUAUUUAUCCAAUAAAAAUGAAAAUAUUGGUCUAAACCAAGACCUGUACAGAAAAGUUUAUAGCAGCUUUGUUCAUAAGAGCCCAAACCUGGAAACAAGUCUCCUUAUCACCAGCAUCUCAGAACAUCCAUACAGUGGAAACUGACUGCUCAGCAAUAGAAAAGAAUAGACUCCUGAUACAUGUGACAACACGGAUGGACCUCAAAAACAUUGCUAUGUUGAAUGAAAGAAGCUGGACACGAAAGAGUACAUACUAUAUGAUUCCAUUUAUAUGCAACUCUAGACAAAUCUAAUCUACAGCAUCAGAAAGAAAUCAUGGCUGCCUGUGUGGGAGGAUGUUUGGGCUGAGAGAUGUUGCAGGUGUUGGUGGAUGCCAUGCAGGAGUACACAUUUGUCAAAACUUAUCUAACUAUACACUUAAAAUGGGCUCAUUUCAUUGUAUGUAAAUAUGUUUCAAUAAAGUUGAUUUAAGCAAAAGAACACAGAGGUCAUGAUCUUGGUAUUGUACUGGAUAGAUUUGGGGCCAAGAAACAUCAAAUGAGAGAAAGAAGGACAUCACAGGGUGGGCUACUUUUCACGAUGACUGCAUUAUAGCAACAGCCAUUGAUGCAGCAAAUGACACAGGAACGAUUGUCACAAAGCAGAGACUACAGGAGAUAAUAGGAGAAACAGAGAGAAAUCCUGCUACUAGGAGAUUUAAUGCUGCUCUGUCAGUCCAAAACAGAUCAAGUGGACAAAAGUGAGUAAGGGUGAGGAAGUCCUGCACGACGUGGCCAGGCAGGUCUCAGGGAUAGCUAUUGAAGUCUGUGCUCUGACCACAGAGAUGUACCUUUUCUUUCCCAGUGCACAGAGAAUAGUCAAGAAAACUGACCACAGAUUAGCCCACAAAGAAAAGCUCAAUUCCAGAUAGCAGAAGUAAAGAAUAUGACAAAACUAGAAUCAAAGCAAAAAUUUCAAAUGUCCUCUUGCCUAUAUAUUUUAAAACUUUGUUUAAAAACUUUUGUGUCAAAAGGUAGAUGCAAACCAAUUUCAGAACUGCUGGGAAAUGCUGAUAAUGAGAACAGAUCAGAAUCCAGGGAGCAUAGCUCAGGCAGUCCCCAGAGACAGACUUGUAGCCUUAUAUUUAUAUGAAGAAAAAAAAAGAAAAAGAAAUAAAUGAAUCAAGUGUUCACCUCAAAAAUUUAAAGUAAGAACAACGGAGUAGACUGAAAGUAGCUAUUAUUAAGGCAAGGUCAGAAAGUAAUGUGUUGGUUAACAGAAAAACAGUAGAAUUGACAAAUAAAAACCUGGCCCUUUGAAAACAAUGAACAAAAUAGAUAAAUCACCACUAACCUAAUCCAGAGAAAAAAGGUAAAACUGUAAAUACACAUAACAAAAAUCAUACCUGAAAGGAGGAGGAGGUGACCAUCAAGAUAGGGGAAAUUAAACAAAUCUUAAGAGAUUACCUAUAACUCUAGGCCAAAAGACCUGAAAACCUGGAUGAAAAGAUAAUUUUCUAGGACUUACCAAAAUUGGGUAAGUAAAUAUAGAAUGUCCAAGCAGACACGUUCGCAAGGAAAAGUUAGAACUGCUCCCCUCCAGCUCCAUCCCCAAGUCACCUGGCUUCAGAGGGAGGUAAGGAGAAAAUUACAUGAUGGUUUCCAUUGAUGCAAAAGAAGGUUUAUUCCCUCGUCUUUUAUAGACAGUAGGAAAAAAACAUUGUCUUAGUGGGGUGCCUUGUCAUCACCCUACUAUUUAAUGUCCUAUUGGAAGCAUCCUCAAAUGCAGUUACACACACAGAGGCAUAGGAGUUGGAAAGGAAGAGGUAAACGAUCUCUAGGGUAGAUUGUAAUUCUGGUGAAGUCAGUCCUCACAGAAACAAUGACCAAACAAUAGUAAAAAUAGAUGAAAUAGUCAGGAAUUAACAAUACAUAUGCACAUUUACAUGAAGAAAGACACUGAAGCAGACAAACAAAUGAAAAUACAGGGCGUAUUUUUGGACAGGAACACUCGGUAUCAUGAAGACAUCAAGUCUCCUUAAGUUAAUUUAUAAUGAAAAUACCAAAGCGUUCUUCUUUUCCUCUGGGGCCUAGAAAAAAAUGGGUUCUAAAGUUCAUAUGAAAAAAUAAACAAAGAAGAGUCAGGAAAAUGCUGAAAAAGAUUGGCGAAGGCAGGAGGAUGGGUUACACCUGGCAGAUGUUACAGAGAUUAUCAGGGUCCAUAACUCAAAGUGUGGUGCUGGUGCGUAAAUCGACCGAUGAGAGGACAGACUAGAAGGUCCAGAAAUGGACCCACGUGCACACGUGGGUUUAAGUGUGACAAAGGCAGCACCUCGAGUUGGGGAAAAGAUGGAAUUUUUAAUAAAUGGUCCUGGGUGAUCUGGGUAGCCACUUGGAAACAUAAAGUUGGAUCCUCACAUCCCACUACACACUACAGGAUAAGCUCCAAAUGGAUCAGAGGUCUGGCUAGAAAUCAGGAAACCAUAUACGUCCUAGGAGAAAAGACGUGAAUUGCUUUAUAACCUGGGCAUAGGGAAAUCCUUUCUAAAUAUUGUUCAAAAUUCAGUGUCAACAGAGGAAACGAUCAAUGAAUCAAUAAAUUCGACUAUAUUAAAAUACAAAACAUCCCUGACCAAAAAAAUCAAAAAGCCAACAACAAACAGAACAGGCACUUGCACACUGAGGCCGAGCUACUUCUUGUGAACAGAGCUUCUGGAAGUGGAGAAGAGAAGCCAAGAACAGUGCAACAACAGGCAAGAGCCACAAACAUGCCUUUUCAGAGAAAUGGAAGAAAAUUGGUGUCGAGGGGCCUCAGUAUGUGAACAUGUGCUCAGUAUCACUUGUAGUGAAAAUGCAAACCCGUGCCCCAGCUUGCAGCCCUCAAGUUGACAAAACCCA